rnacentral:rRNA from 1 species
CGUCGUCGUCAGCUCGUGUCGUGAGAUGUUGGGUUAAGUCCGUAACGAGCGCAACCCUUGUCCUUAGUUACCAGCACGUUAUGGUGGGCACUCUAAGGAGACUGCCGGUGACAAACCGGAGGAAGGUGGGGAUGACGUCAAGUCAUCAUGGCCCUUACGGCCUGGGCUACACACGUGCUACAAUGGUCGGUACAAAGGGUUGCCAAGCCGCGAGGUGGAGCUAAUCCCAUAAAACCGAUCGUAGUCCGGAUCGCAGUCUGCAACUCGACUGCGUGAAGUCGGAAUCGCUAGUAAUCGUGAAUCAGAAUGUCACGGUGAAUACGUUCCCGGGCCUU